rnacentral:rRNA from 1 species
AUUGAACGCUGGCGGCAUGCCUUACACAUGCAAGUCGAACGGUAACAGGUCUUCGGAUGCUGACGAGUGGCGAACGGGUGAGUAAUACAUCGGAACGUGCCCAGUCGUGGGGAUAACUACGCGAAAGCGUAGCUAAUACCGCAUACGAUCUAUGGAUGAAAGCGGGGGAUCGCAAGACCUCGCGCGAUUGGAGCGGCCGAUGGCAGAUUAGGUAGUCGGUGGGGUAAAGGCUCACCAAGCCGACGAUCUGUAGCUGGUCUGAGAGGACGACCAGCCACACUGGGACUGAGACACGGCCCAGACUCCUACGGGAGGCAGCAGUGGGGAAUUUUGGACAAUGGGCGCAAGCCUGAUCCAGCAAUGCCGCGUGCAGGAUGAAGGCCUUCGGGUUGUAAACUGCUUUUGUACGGAACGAAAAGGCUUUUUCUAAUACAGAGAGCUCAUGACGGUACCGUAAGAAUAAGCACCGGCUACUACAUGCCAGCCGCCGCGGUAAGAC